rnacentral:rRNA from 1 species
UACGAGGGGUGCAAGCGUUGCUCGGAAUUAUUGGGCGUAAAGGGCAAGUAGAUGGUCUGAUUUGUCUGGGGUGAAAGCCUUGAGCUUAACUCAAGAAGUGCCCCGGAAACGGUCAGACUCGAGUCCUGGAGAGGGUCGUGGAAUUCCCGGUGUAGCGGUGAAAUGCGUAGAGAUCGGGAGGAACACCAGAGGCGAAGGCGGCGACCUGGACAGGAACUGACACUCAACUGCGAAAGCGUGGGGAGCAAACAGG